GUUUAACGGCCGCGGAUUUUGACCGUGCAAAGGUAGCGCAAUCACUUGUCUUUUAAAUAAAGACCUGUAUGAAUGGCAUAACGAAGGCUAAACUGUCUCCUUACCUAGGUUAAUGAAAUUGAUCUUCCCGUGCAGAAGCGGGAAUUAACUCAUAAGACGAGAAGACCCUGUGGAGCUUUAGAUGAAUAAAUGAAUUGAUUAAAUAUUUAACCCUGUAAAGGUAACAAACCAAUAACCUCAUUUUAAUAUCUUUAGUUGGGGCGACCACGGAGUAAGACAAAGCCUCCGUGAGGAUUAAGGUAAAACCUUUCACCUAAGAAUGUCACUUCUAAGCACCAAAAUCUUUGACCUAAAGAUCCGGUAAUAACCGAUCGACGAACCUAGUUACACCAGGGAUAACAGCGCAAUCCUCUUCAAGAGCCCUAUCGACAAGAGGGUUUACGACCUCGAUGUUGGAUCAGGACAUCCUAAUGGUGUAG
rnacentral:rRNA from 1 species